rnacentral:rRNA from 1 species
GGAACGAACGCUGGCGGCAUGCCUAAUACAUGCAAGUCGAACGAACACUUCGGUGUUAGUGGCGCACGGGUGCGUAACGCGUGGGAAUCUGCCCUUGGGUUCGGAAUAACAGUUGGAAACGACUGCUAAUACCGGAUGAUAUCGAAAGAUCAAAGAUUUAUCGCCCAGGGAUGAGCCCGCGUAGGAUUAGCUAGUUGGUGAGGUAAAGGCUCACCAAGGCGACGAUCCUUAGCUGGUCUGAGAGGAUGAUCAGCCACACUGGGACUGAGACACGGCCCAGACUCCUACGGGAGGCAGCAGUAGGGAAUAUUGGACAAUGGGCGCAAGCCUGAUCCAGCAAUGCCGCGUGAGUGAUGAAGGCCUUAGGGUUGUAAAGCUCUUUUACCCGAGAUGAUAAUGACAGUAUCGGAGAAUAAGCCCCGGCUAAACUCCGUGCCAGCAGCCGC